UGAGCAAUCUGCCCUUCUCAUCGGGAAUAACCAUUGGAAACGAUGGCUAAUGCCGAAUAUGACCUCGGAUCACAUGUUCUGAGGUGGAAAGUUUUUCGGCUAGGGAUGGGCCCGCGGCCUAUCAGCUUGUUGGUGAGGUAACGGCCCACCAAGGCGACGACGGGUAGCCGGCCUGAGAGGGUGACCGGCCACACUGGGACUGAGACACGGCACAGACUCCUACGGGAGGNAG
rnacentral:rRNA from 1 species